rnacentral:rRNA from 1 species
AGCGAACGCUGGCGGCAGGCCUAACACAUGCAAGUCGAACGAACCCUUCGGGGUUAGUGGCGGACGGGUGAGUAACACGUGGGAAUCUGCCCUUGGGUGCGGAAUAACAGUUAGAAAUGACUGCUAAUACCGCAUAAUGACUCCGGUCCAAAGAUUUAACGCCCAAGGAGGAGCCCGAGACGGAUUAGCUAGUUGGUGAGGUAAAAGCUCACCAAGGCGACGAUCCGUAGCUGGUCUGAGAGGAUGAUCAGCCACACUGGGACUGAGAAACGGUCCAGACUCCUACGGGAGGCAGCAGUGGGGAAGAUUGGACAAUGGGCGAAAGCCUGAUCCAGCAAUGCCGCGUGAGUGAUGAAGGCCUUAGGGUUGUAAAGCUCUUUUACCCGGGAUGAUAAUGACAGUACCGGGAGAAUAAGCCCCGGCUAACUCCGUGCCAGCCGCCGCGGUAAGAC